rnacentral:rRNA from 1 species
UACGUAGGGGGCAAGCGUUGUCCGGAAUCAUUGGGCGUAAAGAGCGUGUAGGCGGCCAGAUAAGUCCGCUGUGAAAUCUCGAGGCUCAACUUCGAGCUGUCGGUGGAAACUGUCUGGCUAGAGUCCGGAAGAGGAGAAUGGAAUUCCUGGUGUAGCGGUGAAAUGCGCAGAUAUCAGGAGGAACACCGGUGGCGAAGGCGGAUCUCUGGGCCUUACCUGACGCUCAUGCACGAAAGCGUGGGGAGCAAACAGG